UACGUAGGGUGCAAGCGUUGUCCGGAAUUAUUGGGCGUAAAGAGCUCGUAGGCGGUCUGUUGCGUCGGCUGUGAAAACCCGAGGCUCAACCUCGGGCCUGCAGCCGAUACGGGCAGACUAGAGUUCGGCAGGGGAGACUGGAAUUCCUGGUGUAGCGGUGAAAUGCGCAGAUAUCAGGAAGAACACCAGUGGCGAAGGCGGCUCUCUGGGACGGUACUGACGCUGAGACGCGAAAGCGUGGGGAGCAAACAGG
rnacentral:rRNA from 1 species